AGAGUUUGAUCCUGGCUCAGAUUGAACGCUGGCGGCGUGCCUAACACAUGCAAGUCGAGCGGUAACAGGUGUAGCAAUACAUGCUGACGAGCGGCGAACGGGUGAGUAAUGCUUUGGAAUCUUCCCAGUAGUGGGGAAUAACCAGUCGAAAGAUUGGCUAAUACCGCAUACGUCUGUAAAGGGAAAGCGGGGGCUCGUAAGACCUCGCGCUAUUGGAUGAGCCAAAGUCGGAUUAGCUAGUUGGUGGGGUAAUGGCCUACCAAGGCGACAAUCCGUAGCUGGUCUGAGAGGACGACCAGCCACACCGGAACUGAGACACGGUCCGGACUCCUACGGGAGGCAGCAGUGGGGAAUAUUGGACAAUGGGGGAAACCCUGAUCCAGCGACGCCGCGUGUGUGAAGAAGGCCUGCGGGUUGUAAAGCACUUUUAGUGGGGACAAAAAGCUACGGACUAAUACUCUGUGGUCUUGAUUUAACCCAAAGAAAAAGCACCGGCUAACUCUGUGCCAGCAGCCGCGGUAAUACAGAGGGUGCGAGCGUUAAUCGGAAUUACUGGGCGUAAAGCGCGCGUAGACGGUUUUGUAAGUCAGAUGUGAAAUCCCUGGGCUCAACCUGGGAACUGCAUUUGAGACUGCAUGGCUAGAGUAUGG
rnacentral:rRNA from 1 species